AAAAAAAAUAUUUAGUUUUUCUUUGAGGUUUCACUGAGCUUCUUAUUAAUUUGUGAACUAAACUUGAUAUUGUUAAUUGAUUCUGGUUUAUGAUCAAUUUCAUAAUGGUAUUUUCUUUAGUGUAAUUGGUCUGGUGUAUAUGCUAUAUAAUGGAGAUCUUUGCUAAUACCGUUCUACCCUUCUCUGUCAUUUAGAUAAAAUCUUUGCUACUUAAAAAUUAAGUCUUUAGUGUGUAUUUUCACUCUUACGUUGAGUGGUCUGUUGUGACCUGAUCACAACAAAACGG
rnacentral:misc_RNA from 1 species